AUUGAACGCUGGCGACAUGCCUUACACAUGCAAGUCGAACGGCAGCACGGGUGCUUGCACCUGGUGGCGAGUGGCGAACGGGUGAGUAAUACAUCGGAACAUGUCCUGUAGUGGGGGAUAGCCCGGCGAAAGCCGGAUUAAUACCGCAUACGAUCUACGGAUGAAAGCGGGGGACCUUCGGGCCUCGCGCUAUAGGGUUGGCCGAUGGCUGAUUAGCUAGUUGGUGGGGUAAAGGCCUACCAAGGCGACGAUCAGUAGCUGGUCUGAGAGGACGACCAGUCACACUGGGACUGAGACACGGCCCAGACUCCUACGGGAGGCAGCAGUGGGGAAUUUUGGACAAUGGGCGAAAGCCUGAUCCAGCAAUGCCGCGUGUGUGAAGAAGGCCUUCGGGUUGUAAAGCACUUUUGUCCGGAAAGAAAUCCUUGGCCCUAAUACGGUCGGGGGAUGACGGUACCGGAAGAAUAAGCACCGGCUAACUACG
rnacentral:rRNA from 1 species